rnacentral:SRP_RNA from 1 species
GCCGGGCGCGGUGGCUCACGCCUGUAAUCCCAGCACUUUGGGAGGCCGAGGCGGGCAGAUCACCUGAGGUCAGGAGAUCGAGACCAUCCUGGCGAACACGGUGAAACCCCGUCUCUACUAAAAAUAAAAAAAAUUAGCNNNNNNNNNNGCUAAUUUUUUUUAUUUUUAGUAGAGACGGGGUUUCACCGUGUUCGCCAGGAUGGUCUCGAUCUCCUGACCUCGUGAUCCGCCCGUCUCGG